rnacentral:lncRNA from 1 species
GUCAUUAGACAAGCUGAACACAACAUAGCCUUGAUUGAACCUGGACUCAUGGUUGACCCUCAUUUCAUGGAUAGAACCGCUCUCUAUAAGAGAAGUGGAGAUACACCAAGGAGAUUAUAGACCGAAGGAACCCGAGAAGCCACUCCCUGAAAGGACAUAAGUGACCACUCUGUCUGCAGUCAAGAGCCAGACUAAAGUGAGAUUGGUAGAUGGACUUGGGAUGAAGAAGAACACCACCAGCAGCAGUUAUCCUAAUGGGAAACUGGAGGCUCCUCAGCCCUGGGCUGUCCCUCAUGUGCUGGCAUGUGUGCCUUUCCCCUCACGGUCCGCCUUGCUGACACCACUUUGGCACCUUGAGUUAUCUAGCUCUGCCAGUCAGACUCAGCCCUAAGGAAACUGAUUUGGAACAUCAAUUCUGUGAGGAAAGAGCCAGGACACUCCACUGUCCCCUUGGCAUCCCCGCAGGACUGUGGAGCCAAUCCCUGAAUCUGGUCUCAAUCUCAAUCUGCUUCUUCUUUACCCACCAUGGUGUGAGCGAGCCACGCUGCAAGCUCCCUUAGCUAUGGAUCAAGCCAUUCCAACUGCCAUGACCUCACUGUACAGUUGCGUCCUGGGCACUUUGGCUAUGUACGUGGUUAUCACUUGGUUAUACUGCCUUGUGAUAGAGGCAUCAUUCAUCAUUUAAAAG